ensembl:lincRNA Gm4755 predicted gene 4755
GAGUCCCACCUUCCUCCCCUGAGCACUGGUGAGUGCCCGCAAUCUGUAAUUCCCGCGUCGCACCUUCCUUGAUGCGUGGCUGACGGAGACCCAGGUGCACUCGCUACUAUGUCCUGGUCCGGAGUCCGAAGGCACUGCCCUGGAGAAGGGCGAUUGUUAGUUCUCUACGUGCGAGGCUACAGCGCCCUCUGGGCGAGGACACCCAGGGGUCCUCCAGGUGACCGCAGGCCUAACCAGCUGCGGAGCUCCAGUUGAAUUCCUGUUCCUUCAUGAUUCUCUAUGGGGCCUGGACCUCACAGUUUCCAACGUCCUUCAGACGUGUCAGUCCAAAAAGGAGCCCAGAGAGCCUACAGGCGAGGCAGACGGCAGCGAGAGCAAGGAGGAAGAACCAGCCCUGUCUUGCCCUCAAUCUGUAGAUGGUGCCAAAGGCCCUUUGCACCUGCAAGGCAGGGGCCAUAGAUGGCAUCCAUCCUUGUUCCUCAGUCCCACAUCAGCUGGCCUGGACUGAGAAGCUAGAUCUGAGGCUCAGCGUCUCGGGAAGUCCCCAGUGUAGACUCUACACUGUGGAACCAGCCUUCUGGGAAUUCAACAGCCUCCUUUACACACACCACACCUCCAGCAGUAGCCCAACAACCAGCACCCAGUUGUGUUUGAACACUUUUGUCCUCAGGAAACUCUCCCUUUUGGCGUCUCAGCUGCCCUAGGUCUAACUAUGGGCUACAUACAGAUCCUGCCCAGUUCUUGCCUAGAUCCUUGAGGGUCUUGGUAAAGAACACCCAAUAGCAAGGCUCAGGGAGGCUUAGGACCUAAAAAGCAGGUGCCUCCUAACACAGUGGCUUCAGGAUCUGAAGUCAGCUCUUCAGUCCUUUGAGCCUGAUAUUUGGAGGAAAAUAGGACACUUUGGUAUUUUACCUUCCUGUCCUCUCAAAAUGGGGGCGGGAGGGGGGGAGGCGGGAACAGGAAGGGACUGAUGGGGCUGUUUCGUGUUUUAAACAUGACCAGCUUGAUCUUUCCUUCCAACUGCAUAAGUUUAGCCCAGAUCAAUGAGACAGUAAAGAGGCAAAGAAGACGACUCCUAUAGGGAGACCCCAAGAAAGGCACAUAAAGAAAGGAAGCUAUGGUCCUGUUGAUCUCAGAGCCCAGGCACCCUACAUGGCUUGUGAUUCCUCCCUGUCCUCAAUAUGCAAGAGGUUGGAGAGAUGGCUCAGGGGUUAAGAGCACUGACUAUUCUUCCAGAGGAUCAGGGUUCAAUUCCCAGCACCUGUAUGGCGACUUACAGCUGUCUGUAACUCCAGUACCAGAGGAUACAACAUCCUCACACGGACAUACAUGCCUUGAUAUGGAUGGACAUUUUAUGUCCUCUCGGUUGGACUCAGAUCAAGUUACGGGAGCUGUGGUGUGAGUUUCCUCAUCAUUCCCAUCAUAAAACAUCUUGCUGAAGCUUUUUGUUGCUACCUGGUUAGGAAGAGCAUCUCUGGUCGCCUCUCAGCCUGUUCUCCAUCCCUUUCUCAGAUGGUUCCCUAACUAGGCCAUUGAGGUGCCUUAGCCGGAACAAUGUGCUCUUGUACAAGCUUGAUAAACCACCGCACUUGGCUCCCUGGAACCCACCCAAAGGUGGAAGGGGAGAAUCAACUUACAGAACUGUCCUCUGUCCACACAUCCUCCCUUCACACAGUAACAAUAGAUACUUUUUUUUAAUCCCCUAAAUUUAAGAUGUGUUCAUAGCUACAGCAAGUAAAGAUGACCUUUUCCAGCAUCUUUUACAGCAGUGUUCAGCCAUGUUCUUUGGAGUUUGCCAUUGCCAGUGGUAAAUAAUCAGAGACAAACAUCCCUCUCCCCCUUUCAUUUUCCCUCCCAGCUAGAAUGCAGAUAUAAUAUCUGUACACGGGAUAGCAAUCUUUGGCCAUGAAGUGACCUCAGAACAGAGACCAUGUAUGGUAGAAGAGCAAGUGAGAAGCAGCCUGGGCCCCGGGCCCCGGGCCCCUGGCCCCCACCCCCGGCCCUCGGCCCCCACAGAACAUGGAGCUAACUCUGGACUGCCCACCCAUACUUGCACAUGACAGUAGGCAUGUUUUUGUGUUGUUUAAAAUGUUUAUUCAGGAUUUUCUACCACUUGCCAGCAAAUCUAACCCUAAUGCACUGAUUAAAUUGGCCUACGCAUGACUAAGAAGAUAAUCCUAAAAGAGUAUGAGGAGGACAUAUGAGAGGGGAGGAGAGAUGCCCAGGGAACAGACAAGGAGGUACAGCUUUGAAGGCGCCGCUGAAAGACUCUCAGAAGCCAGCUAGCCACGUUCCCAGGAUGGACUACGUGCUAACUUUGCAUAUGACUCCAGUCAUCGAACAACUCCUGUCCCCAAGGAGGAGCAGACGUGACAUGAGUGAGCUUUGCUUAGGAUAGUGGUUCUCAACCUGUGGGUCGCCGUGACCCCUUUGGGGACCAUAUCCAAUAUUUAUGAUUCAUAACAAACAGUAGCAAAACUACAGUUCUGAAGUAGCAAGAAAAAUACGGUUGAGGGGAGGGAGUCCCCACAACACAAGGAUCUGCAGUAAAAGGUCACAGGAUUAGGAAGGUUGAGAACAACUGGCUUAGAAGAAACCUGUCUGAAAGCUGUGUAGCCCUCUGUCCUCGAGGACUCUGUGGCAUUUCUCCACUGCUU